UACGUAGGAGGCAAGCGUUGUCCGGAAUCAUUGGGCGUAAAGCGCGUGUAGGCGGUUCGGUAAGUCGGCUGUGAAAGUCCAGGGCUCAACCCUGGGAUGCCGGUCGAUACUGCCGGACUAGAGUUCGGAAGAGGCGAGUGGAAUUCCCGGUGUAGCGGUGAAAUGCGCAGAUAUCGGGAGGAACACCAAUGGCGAAGGCAGCUCGCUGGGACGUUACUGACGCUGAGACGCGAAAGCGUGGGGAGCAAACAGG
rnacentral:rRNA from 1 species